AUGGAUCCGGCGCCGCAGUCCCACCCGAUCCUCUCCUACGUGCUCUCCCGCCUCCCCACCCUCUCCAAGCCCAGGCCCGCCGCCGGGGCCGACUUCGACAUCGAGCAGCCGCCGGUCCACACGCCGUCCCCGCGCUCGCCCUCCGUCGGCGAGUUCGAGCUCGUCGAGCGGAUGCCGGGCCUCCGCCACGCCUCCGUGCUCCACGCCAUGACCCGCGCCGUCGCCGACGUCUCCGCCGCCCGCUCCGCGCUGCAGGAGCUGGGCCCGCGCCCCGACCACGAGCUCGUCGACUCCUCCCGCGCCGUCGUCGCCGCCGCCGCCGCCGGCGACGUCGCCCCGCGGGUCACCGAGGAGGACCUCGAGGCGUGCCGCACCGUGGUGCGGCUCGAGGAGGCCCACGACACCUACGAGGCGCUGCUGCACGAGGCCGAGGGGAGGCUCGAGAAGGUCUACCGGUCGGCGAUGGAGGGCAGGGACCUGGAGGAGGCCGAGGGGAAGGAUGAAUCGGCGGCGGGCGCUGAUGAGGUGGCGGUGCAGGAGGAAGUCGUCGCCGUGCUGAAGCAGGCCCAGGAGGGCAAGCCGGUGGAGAGCGUGCUCCUCGUGGAUCGGCAGCUGCGCUACCUGCCCGAGGCGUUCGGAAGGAUCCUGGGACUCCGCGUGCUUGACGUAUCACACAACCAGCUCCAGGUUAUUCCAGAUGCUAUAGGAGGGCUUGAACAUCUUGAAGAGCUCCGUCUUGCUUCUAAUGCCUUGGUUUCUCUUCCUGAUACUGUUGGAUUUUUGUCCAAUCUGAAGAUUCUGAAUGUGUCGACUAACAAGCUGAGAACACUGCCAGACAGCAUCUCAAAGUGCAGGUCGCUAGUUGAGCUUGAUGCAAGCUACAAUGGGCUCACAUAUCUGCCAACAAAUAUUGGCUAUGAACUGAUUAAUCUGCGAAAGCUCUGGGUUCACAUGAACAAGUUGCGAUCUCUUCCAUCAUCUAUCUGUGAGAUGCAAUCACUAUACGUCCUGGAUGCUCAUUUCAAUGAACUAUGCGGUCUGCCAUCUGCCAUAGGGAAGCUUUCCAGCCUUGAAAUCCUCGACCUGAGCAGCAACUUCAGCGACAUGAAGGAGCUCCCUUUCUCAUUCGGUGACCUGCUGAACCUGCGGGAGGUUGACCUCAGCAACAACCAGAUCCAUGCUCUUCCCGACAGUUUUGGCCGGCUUGACAAGCUGGAGAAGCUUAACCUGGAGCAGAACCCUCUGUCCAUGCCACCAGCGGAGGUCGUGAAGGAAGGUGUAGACGCUGUGAAAGAGUACAUGUCAAAGAGGUGGCUUGAUGCGUUGCUCGAGGAAGAACAGAGGAGCAUGGCGGCAGCAGCAGCAGCAGAGAGCCCGCAGGCGUCGACUCCCAAGGCUUGGCUGGCGCGCAGCGUCUCAUGGGUCUCGGACGUUGGGGGGAGCCUUGUGGGCUAUGUCAGUGGUGGCCAGACCAAGUCGGAGAAAGACUCGAUCCUCGACCAGCAGUUCUGA
rnacentral:rRNA from 1 species